AAAGUGCGCGCAUCGGAUGGAGCAGUCUCGUGGGAAAUCCUGAUUGCCUGAUCGAUCUCGUGGGAAAUCCUGAUUGCUACGGAAAGGGCUGACAACCACAGUUAUUUCCCUUCCUCAAUUUUCCAGUUCACUUGCUCAGUGCUGUCAGUUGUUUUUUGUUUGCCCUGCUAUAUAAACUUCACUCCGUCAUAAUCCCCUACUCUCCUAUCCAAUGAACUGUUUCUGUUACAGCUGCCAUUCUGUUGACUGGACCCUAACUUAGUCUUAUCAUUUUCACUUGAUAACUUUAUCCGUGUGCACUUUCUCGAAACUCAACUUAUCUUUGUCAAGACUCAGCUAAUCUCAGAACUAAAUGUUGCCUUAACAGACUUACUUGUCACUGCACUGGGCCCUCCUUUAAAUGCAAAUAUCAUAUGAGCAGCUGAUCGAUUUAUUGCUUGAACUGUGCAUCCUUUUUAAAAAUAAAUAAGGUCAAUUUUACUAUCGUGAAACUUAGUCACUGAAGACAACGCAAUCUGGCUGUGCCGGUUCCCCUCUGCCUAGAUCACUUAGAAUAUCCAUAGUUAGCAAUACUUUUAUCGUUUAAUGCAGCGAUAUAGCCAGUUAUCAAUGCUACAUAGUAGAUUUUAGCCUGUUCCAAUCAUCCUUAUAUCGCGUUAAUGGAAUUUAUGAAAUUGCCUACCGUUCAAAUCGCUCUCUGUUGUUAGCACCACACUGAUUAACUACGAUGUUCCAAUUUUUUAGAAUUAUGUCCGACAUAAUUCUAAUUUUUGCUGUUACAGCAGAUAGUUAUGGUGUAAUGGCACGCAGGAAUAAGUCAUCCCUGUCCUCCAAAAAGCCCAUGAAAAGGUAUUUGGUAAGCUAUGUCUUUUCCAAUAUCAAAUCCAAUGUAUCACAAUCUGUGGACUUUCUACUCAAAAACUAGAUUGAUUAAUUGAUAAUUCAUUGCUGAUUGUUCACGCGCCCUGUAUGGAAGUAUAUAAAUGGUAAUCCGCAUACUCCAGGAAGAAUUGAAGCAAUCUCAAAAGAAAAGAAGGGAAUCUGGAUCCUUCGUCGGAUCGUCAAAGAGCUUAGAGGGGAGCUCUACGCUUCACUGGCCAUGCAAAGCAGGGAGAGUGACGGAGGCGGAGGCACUGCUGGCUGCUGGAACGGACAUUAACAAGCUGGACAGAACGCAGUUUAACCCUUUCAUGGACGCGAUCAACUCAGGACAGGUCGACUGUGCUAGAUGGCUGCUGAGGCAAGACGGUUUAAAGCUUCAGACCGAGAUAUGGUCGUUUUGUAGGGAGAGGGUGCUAGAGUCAUUGCUAACAGCUUAACAGAAGGUAGGGAGAGCGAUCCAUGGCUGUCCCGAUAGACCCACUCAGACUCCUGCCGGAAGAUACUCCUCCGGUUGAUCCAGAUGAGACAGUUCUAGCAGAUGAUCAGUUACAGACUGAAGAACAUAUCCCACAGAUCAAUGCGUCAACAUCUGCAAAUGAAGCUGAUAUCAGAAUCGACAUGAUGAUGGUACUACACGAGAUGCUCAUGGAAAAGGUCUCCGUUUGCUUUCCUCCUCCCACGAGCAGUACAAAGUGUGGGUUCAACUUUAAUCUGAUAGAAGAUAUCGUAUGCGGAACCCAAGCCUGGCC